GACGAACGCUGGCGGCGUGCUUAACACAUGCAAGUCGAACGGAAAGGCCCUGCUUUUGUGGGGUGCUCGAGUGGCGAACGGGUGAGUAACACGUGAGUAACCUGCCCUUGACUUUGGGAUAACUUCAGGAAACUGGGGCUAAUACCGGAUAGGAGCUCCUGCUGCAUGGUGGGGGUUGGACAGUUUCGGCGGUUGGGGAUGGACUCGCGGCUUAUCAGCUUGUUGGUGGGGUAGUGGCUUACCAAGGCUUUGACGGGUAGCCGGCCUGAGAGGGUGACCGGCCACAUGGGGACUGAGAUACGGCCCAGACGCCUACGGGAGGCAGCAGUGGGGAAUAUUGCACAAUGGGCGGAAGCCUGAUGCAGCAACGCCGCGUGCGGGAUGACGGCCUUGGGGUUGUAAACCGCAUUCGCCUGUGACGAAGCGGGAGUGACGGUAAUGGGUAAAGAAGCACCGGCUAACUACGUG
rnacentral:rRNA from 1 species